ACGCUAGCUACAGGCUUAACACAUGCAAGUCGAGGGGAAACGGCAUUUAGUGCUUGCACUGAAUGGACGUCGACCGGCGCACGGGUGAGUAACGCGUAUCCAACCUUCCCAUUACUUUGGGAUAACCUGCCGAAAGGCAGACUAAUACCUCAUAGUCUUCGAUGACGGCAUCAGAUUUGAAGUAAAGAUUUAUCGGUAAUGGAUGGGGAUGCGUCUGAUUAGCUUGUUGGCGGGGUAACGGCCCACCAAGGCAACGAUCAGUAGGGGUUCUGGGAGGAAGGUCCCCCACAUUGGAACUGAGACACGGUCCAAACUCCUACGGGAGGCAGCAGUGAGGAAUAUUGGUCAAUGGACGUAAGUCUGAACCAGCCAAGUAGCGUGCAGGAUGACGGCCCUAUGGGUUGUAAACUGCUUUUGUAUGGGGAUAAAGUCAAUCACGUGUGAUUGUUUGCAGGUACCAUACGAAUAAGGACCGGCUAAUUCCGUGCCAGCAGCCGCGGUAAUACGGAAGGUUCGGGCGUUAUCCGGAUUUAUUGGGUUUAAAGGGAGCGUAGGCCGGAGAUUAAGUGUGUUGUGAAAUGUAGACGCUCAACGUCUGAAUUGCAGCGCAUACUGGUUUCCUUGAGUACGCACAACGUUGGCGGAAUUCGUCGUGUAGCGGUGAAAUGCUUAGAUAUGACGAAGAACUCCGAUUGCGAAGGCAGCUGACGGGAGCGCAACUGACGCUGAAGCUCGAAGGUGCGGGUAUCGAACAGGAUUAGAUACCCUGGUAGUCCGCACAGUAAACGAUGGAUGCCCGCUGUUGGUACCUAGUAUCAGCGGCUAAGCGAAAGCAUUAAGCAUCCCACCUGGGGAGUACGCCGGCAACGGUGAAACUCAAAGGAAUUGACGGGGGCCCGCACAAGCGG
rnacentral:rRNA from 1 species